rnacentral:rRNA from 1 species
UACGGAGGAUGCAAGCGUUAUCCGGAAUGCUUGGGCGUAAAGCGUCCGCAGGUGGCAAUGUAAGUCUGCUGUUAAAGAGUGAGGCUCAACCUCAUAAGAGCAGUGGAAACUACAUGGCUAGAGUGCGUUCGGGGCAGAGGGAAUUCCUGGUGUAGCGGUGAAAUGCGUAGAGAUCAGGAAGAACACCGGUGGCGAAAGCGCUCUGCUAGGCCGCAACUGACACUGAGGGACGAAAGCUAGGGGAGCGAAUGGG